rnacentral:rRNA from 1 species
CCUACGGGCGGCAGCAGUGGGGAAUAUUGGACAAUGGGCGAAAGCCUGAUCCAGCCAUGCCGCGUGUGUGAAGAAGGCCUUCGGGUUGUAAAGCACUUUCAGUGGGGAAGAAAGCCUUGGGGCUAAUACCCUCGAGGAAGGACAUCACCCACAGAAGAAGCACCGGCUAACUCCGUGCCAGCAGCCGCGGUAAUACGGAGGGUGCGAGCGUUAAUCGGAAUUACUGGGCGUAAAGCGCGCGUAGGCGGUCUGAUAAGCCGGUUGUGAAAGCCCCGGGCUCAACCUGGGAACGGCAUCCGGAACUGGCAGGCUAGAGUGCAGGAGAGGAAGGUAGAAUUCCCGGUGUAGCGGUGAAAUGCGUAGAGAUCGGGAGGAAUACCAGUGGCGAAGGCGGCCUUCUGGACUGACACUGACGCUGAGGUGCGAAAGCGUGGGUAGCAAACAGGAUUAGAUACCCCAGUAGUC